CAGAGGAGAGCCAGGAAUCCGUGGAGAGACUGGUGCUGCUGGAUCUGUUGGGCCCCCAGGUCCACAAGGCAUGCCAGGAAAUGUGGGUGUACCUGGAGACACUGGCCAACCCGGAAAGGAUGGACAAAAGGGUGAAAAGGGUGACCCAGGACAGGAAGGAAAACCAGGACUACCUGGGCUCGCAGGUGAGCCUGGCCCUGCUGGAAUACCUGGCUUACCAGGGAAGGGUAAAGAUGGAGAACGGGGUGAAAGAGGGCCCCCAGGCUUACGAGGACCCCUCGGACCCAAGGGAGAUAGGGGAGUUCCUGGUCUUCCUGGCCAGCCAGGAGACAGAGGCGCACCAGGAGUUGGAGUAGCUGGACCUCCUGUAAGUACUAAGCAGACCUCACUCACUUUUGAUAAG
rnacentral:lncRNA from 1 species